ACUAGCACAGGAAUCCGCCGGGAAAACUGAACUUGAUCCCUUUCACGCGCCCCUGUUCACUCGGACGCGCAGGAAAUUUACGUCAUCAAUACUCGGCGGCUGAAGGUGGGAAAGCCAAGGCUCGUGCGGUCGCUAGUGCGCAAGCUCGAAGCAAAGUUGGCCCCCGCGGAGCUGGCUAGCGAGUUUAAGCAGGAUUUAAAGUCCAUGUAAGGCCACCUGGUGGCUCAGUUGAUUGAGCAUCCCACUUCCUCUCAGGUCAGAUCUGGUUCAUGAGUUCCACCCUGCA
rnacentral:lncRNA from 1 species